UCUCUCCACACACGAAAAAAAAAACGUCAAAUUUACAGGGGCUACAUUGUGUGGGUUGAUCCAUCGACGGCCGUUUUACGAGCCGUUACUAUUAGCUUCCAUCUAGUAGCCAAACCUCGAAACCCUAAAGCCUCAAAUCCCUUAUUUCUCUCUCUCUCUACACUACUCUCUCUGCAAUUCAAUGGAGUUCAAGUUUCGAGCCGUCGAUGAGCGACCGCCAAUUUGUCCCAACCCUCCUUCCAGCAUCAGCUACUUUACCGAGCACGCAUUGAGAGGCCCGGGACCAAUGCGAAAUCCGGGUGACGUUCGAGAAGCGAUCGAGUGGGAGCUCGAGAAGGACCGGAUUAGAGAAGAGUUAAUCGUCGCCGAUAUCGCUCGACGCCGAGUGCUCGAGGCGGAGGUGAGGACGGCGCUGAUGAUAGAGCGAGAGAUGGCAAUGCGGAGGCUCGCCGCCACGGCCACACCGGAGGGGUUGUCUUUAGAGGAGCGAUUGGCAAUGCGGUUCGACCCGAGGUUGCCGCAGCUAAUUCACCCAUUCGAAAGCUUCGCUUUUCCUGGUUGUGGUGGCGCAAUCGAUACGUUUCCGAUGAUGCCGCGGUUACUGGAGGCGAUGCCGCUUGAUAUCAAGCCUCCCCGGGAGAUUAACAAGGAUAAGCUGAUCGUACUGGCUAAGCCCGACCCAAAUCUUUCUGGAACAAAGCGGAAAGCUGUGACACCACCUGCAGGGAGCACUAGUGAGCUUCCACCAUUUGGUUUGAAGAAGAGACCUAAGGAGGAGUGGAGUUGUGCCCUCUGUCAGGUCAGUGCCACAAGCGAGAGAGGUUUCAAUGAGCACCUUCAAGGUAAGAAGCACAAGGCCAAAGAAGCACGGCUUAGAGCUCAGACAAUGGGAAAGAUUGCCAGCUCAACACCACUGCCAAAGGAAACCACAAAGCCUUCUAAGCUUACAGAUACCACUGAUAUUGGAAGCUCAGGACUGCAGGCAAGGGUAGAAGGGGAAUCACUUCACCAGAAUAAAACUGGGGAUGGUUCACACCAGAAAUUGGAGAUUACUGAAGAUUCGAAGAAUGCUAAUGAGCAGGUUCUGCUGCAGAAAAACCAAAAUGCAGAAGAUUCUAAGACAAAUGGCACGGCAACAGACCAGGGAGCUGAGAAAAUUACAGAAUUUAAGAAGACAAAGAAAUUUAAGUUUUGGUGUGAAAUGUGUCAAAUUGGUGCUUACUCUCAAGUGGUGAUGGAGGGUCAUAAAAAGGGGAAAAAGCACAGGUCUCGGCUUCAGGAACUUGGUCAAAAGGAUGGAUUUGAUGUGACCACAUCUUUCAUGGCAGCACCUGCUAAUACUCCGAAGGAACUUGAUACAGAUUUAGCGGCCAAAGAAGCAAAUAACUCAGAUGCUACUCAAAAGCCAGAAGAUACAGAUGUAAUGGCCAAAGAAGCAAAUGAAAAGACAGCAGAAACUGUUAUUGCAGAUGAAGAAAAAUCAGGUUCAUCUCCCGUACAAAUUAAUUAGUGGAGAUGGGGAAGUAGAAACAUAUCUGAUCUGCUUACAGUUUUUGUCGCUUCAGUGAUUGCAAUGGAUUCUACAUAGCAACGGCUCUAGGCAGCCCUUUCAAUGCUUCCAUCCUUUCUUAUAAUUUUCCUGAUUGAUGUGGAAAAAUUCUUUUUUCCAUGCUUGAAAAUGAGUCUGGUACCAUCUGCUUAUGUGGAUGUCCCCAUGUUGCAUUUCAGUACUUUGACUUUCUUAUGAUAGAAAGCAUAUUUAAUCAUCUUUUGCUGUCCUUGAGAGUGUAGCAUGCUUAGUGCAACAAGGCAAGCUUCUUAUUUGACAGGCUGAACUUAGAAGAGGUGUUCUGAAGUCUUUAGACCACUGGUCAAAGCCGCUAGUACUUGACUUUUAUAUGAAGGGGCUUCUAAGGUAGAUAUGAUGAAGUCCUAGUUCUAUAGCAACUCCUGUCCUGAUGAGUAAGCUCUAUUAACCUGUGCAUAUAUAUGCCCUUUGACUCUUUGUGCAUCCUAACAGUGCUUAAUUACUCAACAUUGGAGUGUGGUCUCUUGGCUGGUCUUCCCAUGUUAGUGCUCUGGCUGGUUCUCUUCUCUUCUCUUCUCUUCCUGUUAGUAGUAAACUCCAUUCUCACUGCUUUAGCUCUUCCAUGUUUGUGCUUCAUUCAUCUGCUUGUCUUCAUUUCCUGUGCUUCAUGAUUUUGCACUUCCUGAUAGACCUGAAGGUACAUACUAGUUCUCAGGGGCUUGCUAUAAUUGACAUUGAUGUCAAUACCCUAUGAUCCAAAUCCCAGCCACGGCUGCGAAAAUUUUAUAUUCUCGUCUUGUGCUCUUAAAGCAAGAAGAGCACAGAGCCACAGUCUACACACUACAAAUUAAAUUGAGUGAAUGUCAUUUUUUGCAAAUUUUCAUUGGACAACAAACACUGAGCAUUGGACCAUUGGUGAAUGACAUAGAAGCAUUUUAUGUAUU